CCCGUCUUUAACCCCGCUUCUUGCUGGUAGCGGUCGAUCGCCGUCAACUUUGACGUUAAUUCGUAAUAAUAAACAUUUUUUGUCCCUAGCUAGUAAAAAAAUGACUUUUUUCCCCCUGCAUUUUAAAGCACGGUGAAUGAAAACGAACUGGUGACGGCGCCGUUGACGAUAUCAUACAACGGGAACGUCUCCGUUUUCCACGUCGGACAGGCGGAGGCGGAGAAAAUAAUGAGAUUAGCAUCGGAGGCAAGCGCGAGGGAAAGGAUACUGACCCAACUUAGAGGAGGUUUGCCACUAUCUCGAAAAAUGUCCCUGCUGCGGUUUCUUAACAAGCGCAAAGAGAGGUUAAGAGCAAAGACGCUUUAUGAGAGCGAGACCAAUGAGGACCAAUGAAGAAGGGGAUAAUGGAUAUCAUGGGAGAUCUUAGCCUCUAGUAAGGCGUAGAUUAGAUGUGUCCUGUUUUCCUUUUGAGGAAAGAUGGAGUGUUUCUUGUUAUUAAUUUGGUCCUUGUUUACAUCAGAAAACGUUGACUUUGUUCAUGGCUUUUAUUCUACCUAUUGUCAUAGUUUUGCAACUCUUUUUCUUAGGGAAGGCUGAUGUAAUUAAAUAUAUUAGUUCUUUUUUUUUACACAAAAUGACCUUAUUUAAGUUUUUC